GUGCGAUUCGUCCGCCGCCAGACGGCUAGGACAGGAGUACGGUGAGCUGUUGCCAGCUGAGGUGCAUGUGAGAGUUCCUUCACCUCGAGCUAGACAGUGCGCGGACUAUCCGCGAUUGAUUGACUCAAGACCGAGUCGGGUGGCAUAGAGAACUAAGGUAAGAGAAACCUUAGGAAAGAAUGGCCAGUAGAAAAGUGCGACAAAGUGUAAAGAAUAAAGAAUAAGUAAAGAAUAAAGUUCGGCUAAGGAAUAAGAAUAGCUGAUUAGUAAAGAAAGGUUACAAGUAAAGAAUAGCUAAGAGCUAAAAGUAAUUAAAUGACAAGAGUAAAGAAUGAUUAAGAAUAUAAGUAGCGUUAAAGUAACCUACUUGCAUGAUUACAGGUAUUGCAUAUUGCAUUUCGUGAGGCAUGACAUGUAUUUCAAUUGAAUAUAUAUAUCUGUUGUAUAUUGUUGAACUAACAUGUUGCAGUGCCUCGUUAGACCUGUUGGUUGAGCUGGUUCUCUUGGGUGGCUAAACCCACUGAGGACUAUGGACAAUAGUCUCACCCCCGUGUUGCUGUUUUGGGGGUACAGGUACACACGUGUGCGGCGCGGCGGCGCAAGGCGAGGGCGUAGUUCUGCAGAUAGCGCCCUACCCCAGAGACCAGAGCUAGCAGUACCCCAUCUAUAUAGCUUAGGGGUAAAGGAAAUGAAAAGAAUACAAUGUAUCAAACUUGUAGUAAGUAAAUGUUGUAAUAACUUAGAUUGCAUUUGGAUGAAAAAGAAUGGAAACUGUGAUGUAAAAACUAUGAAAGUGAAUGAAUGUAAUAACUUAGGAUGUGUUUAUGUUGUAUGAUACCUUCCACUUGAAAUCUUGAUUGAUAUCCGUUCCUGGUUGGAACCUUCGUGAAUUGUAUUGAUUGCGAUGCUUUGAAUGUACAGGGGAGACUCUGUCCGUAGUACAAGGGAAACCUUGUCCAUUCGGCGAUGUCGGCGGCGCCGGGACCUUGGCCAAAUAGGCGGGUGGUCGCGGGCUGUGACAGUUGUGGUAUCAGAGCAUAAAGUAGAGAAUGGGAAUGGCUUAGACUGACCUAGGAGACCCUAGGAUAGUAAAACCAUAGAAGAAUAAGGCUCGUGAGAGACGAGGACUCAUGAUUCGUGGCGAAAGGUUAAUGGAUUGGGUUGUGUUGUAAACCUCUAAGACGGAUAUUAGAGGUAGACUCGAGGUGUUGUUUAUUCUCAGCCAAGGAUGUUCAUGUUGGGCGUACGACAACAUGAAACCGAGUGAUGUGAAUAAACACCCUUGCGUGACUUUCGCCUGAUUGGCUUUUGAGCCGGUGUUAGUGGUCUCGUGUUCGACCCAAGUUGGUCGAGAACUAAUCGAGUUGUCGUGUUUCAGGAAGCGAUGGCACCGCGUAGGCGAUCUUCUUCCAGAUCGGCGCGGGAGGGGACAAGUGGUGUUCCCGAGCAAGUCGACGCGAGCGAAGGCGCAGAGCUUCGUGAUCAGUUGGCCACACUCAUUGGAGUGAUGAGGCAACAAGCUGAUGUGGUGCAGAGGCAGCAGGAGGCUGCUAUGCGCCAGGAAGAGCGAAUGGAAAGACUCCAAGAAACGGUGGACCAGCUGGUGGGUGCACCAGCUGCGGCUCGUCGAGAACGGCCGGGAGUCGCGGCGGAGAUGUUCCCGUCGGGGUCGGGCGAUCCGACUCCUGUUAGUUCAGAGGUGGCGGCAGAAAGGGAGCGAGCUUUGGCUGCCCUCAUGGCUUUCAAGAAAUUUGAUCCGCCUACCUUCGAUGGUGAGGAUCCAGAUCCGUGGAUCGUGGAGAUGUGGAUUGAUGCCAUGGAAACGCUCUUCGAGGAUCUGUACACGUUGGAGCGAGACAAGGUAAACCUAGUCGCGCAUUAUCUCAAACAGUCGACGAAGGUGUAGUGGAAAGGCGUCAAGCAUGAUCGACCGCCUAGUCUCCCUCCUAUGACGUGGGAAGAAUUUCGGGGAUUGGUGUUCUCUGCUUAUUUCCCCGAUAGCGAGAAGCGGAAGCUCAAGGAAAGGUUCCUUAAGCUGCGGCAAGGAAGUCGCACGGUCAGGCAAUAGGAGCGGGAGUUUUUCCGUAUCGUGCAUUGUAUCCCAAACGUGGUGCGAGAUGACAAGGACAGGGCCGACUGCUUCGUGCGUGGACUUCAGCCAGAUCUUUACCAGGCGGUGCUGGUACUCAAGUUGCAGAUUUUUGCUGAAGUCCUGGAUCGGGCCUUGUGGAUAGAACAGGGCAACGCCUUUAUGCGGGAAGAGCGAGAGGCAUAUUACAAGGAAAAGGGGAAAGGACGACCGACAGGUGGAUCCAGUAGUCAGUCAAGUUCCCAACGGACUUUGACGAGUUCGCACUCGCGAUCCCGAGCUCCGGGGACAUACCGCAUUCAGUCCUCGGCGAAAUGUGCUAUUUGUGGAGGCCCUCAUUUCCCACGACAGUGUGAGCAACGUGAAGGCAAGUACUUCAAGUGUGGGCUGCCGGGUCAUAUGUGGGACGAGUGUCCGCGUGGUGACGGCCGGGCCUUGACACUGGCGACGGCCCAUCCCUCUCUGGGACAACCUGCAGGUGUGCCACCUGCGGCAUGGUCGGGAGAGCGGCCGUUGAGGACGAUGCAACCAGAGGGUUCGCGACGAGCGCCAGGUGGGCAUCGGUAAGCGACCCGAGUUGCAGAGCCUGCCGUUGCUGACGUCAUCGUGGCAGGUAUGAGUUAAUUGAGCAAGCAUGUGCUUUUACUAAUCUCAAGUUGGUGCAUAGCAUGCAUUUGUUGUUGGUCGGUUGCUACUAAUUAUAUAUUGCAUAGUAGGGACCGAAUAGUCGGGUAAGUAGACGCCCGUACAUGCUUGCAUUGUGAGAAGUGGCACCUGCUGGUGCAAGUAGAAAGCCAAGUGGUGCUAGCUAAUGGCUAGUGAUGAUUCUCCGGUACGGAAUGAGGCUCGUGGAGAACAUGGUCUAGUAAGUGACUCUCGAAAUAAUGGGUUGAAAAUUGUGAGAGUUGAGCCUUGAUGUUGAGGAUACUCGAAAGACACGGGAGUUGAGAAUGUAUUCCGGUAGAUCGAACAGUGAAGGUAGAAUCACUGUUGAGAGAGUAACCGUAUAGUUGCCGAAUACGGGCACGUAGGCCUAGUAGUACCUCAAGUUGAGGUCGGCGAGUCCUGCUCGUGUAGUCGGUGUGCAUAGGCAAGGUUGCCUGAUGCUAGAUUUCGUGGAACGCUUUAGAGGCGUAGAGCGCUCGAGUGUAGUUACUCGUGAAGUGCGGUUUUGAUUCAGCCGGUUGAGUGAAUUGGCAGUAGCACUUUAGCAGGGCUAAGUGUGAAGCGGGCCAUGGAUCACUCGUAGGGCUGGUGGCUCGCACUAGGUACCUGGGGGCCGAUAGAGUGUGUAGCUCUGUAGAGCAUGUCGUUUAGGACGACGACGACGAGUGGUGCUUGAGGAUGACCCGUGCCUGGACCGUUUGUGAACUGUGUAGCCUGGGCCCAUUGGGCAGGCGCAGUCAGCUGUGAGAGACAGCGGCCCGAUACCUACUGGUAGGGCAUAGUGUUGGUCAGGACGGUAGUCCGAGCUUGGACAUAAGUACGUGGAAUGCCACGCGAUAGAUCGUGAGAUUGAUGGCACACCAAGUGUGUAGUGACCCAACCCGAGGACUUGACGUGGUCUAGGAUCUUGGUUGCACCUGGUUGGAGUGUGUGUGAAUUCUCCAAUGAGAAUUUCGCCCAAUGAUGAUUGGAUCUACGAUGCGGGCAAGAGACGCUAUGCGUAGUUGUGACAGGUAUAGGCGGUAGGCCUACGUAAUGAUUAUGAUCGUUGGUCCGCCUGUGAAAACCGAUGAUCAGUGCGGCAAGCAACUCUGUUAGUGAGUUGGGCUUGGAUUCACGAACGGAGGGUUCGUGUGAUGUUGAACGUGGCUUGUGGUAGUAAAGGAUAAAGAGAAAAGUAAAGUGUUCUCUAGGAGACACUUGAAUAAGAAAUAGCCACGUGAGGGUUGGUGUAAGGAAGUGAAUUCUCGAAAUGCGAGAGUUGGACUUCGCUCAAAAUCGACAAAUUGUCGAGUGGUUGUGCUUCGGAAAUGCCGAAGAGGUCAAAUACACCAAAGGUGCAUUGCAACGGAUCUGCGAGAGCAAGUGUGCAAAAAUCUGCACUUGGCAGAUUUGCUCUCGGGGACCGAUCCCUGUCAAGGAAGGACCGGUCCCCCGUAGCUGGUUGGUGCGAGGUUGCGUGAUGCAACCGGUCCCUUGGCCAGAGGGACCGGUCCCCCGUAUGCGAAACCGGCGAGAAGAGGAAAUUGGCUAAGUCCUGCGAGAGCAAGCUCUCGGGGACCGGUCUCUAGUGGACAGACCGGUCUCCGGGGGACCGGUCCUCCAGGGACAGACCGGUUCCCGUAAGUGUGUUCAGGCUGAAGGCUCUCGGGGACCGGUCCCUGGCAGGGAGAGACCGGUCCCUCUACACAUAAAAUUUUCCAGGCAGGCUGGGUCAUGUUGGAGGAGUUGGAAUUGUUUGAGUUUCGAGGACGAAACUCUUAUAAGGAGGGGAGAAUGUAACAUACCGAAUUUUAAAUAUAAAAGAGAAAAAUAAAUAAAAAUAGUAUGAGAUACUAUUUUAUUGGAUUUAGAGAAGUGAAAUAUCGGUUGGGAACGACCUGUGCUGAAAUCGGAGCGAAAACAGAAGAUUUAGAAUUUUCUGUUGGAAACGGGACUGAUAAAUUAGCAGAAAAUGCACAGUCUCAGAAAAUUAUAAAAAAUUAGAGGAUAAGUCAGAAAUAUUUUUAUGAGGCUAGAUUUGAAGUUUCAUAUUUUUCUGACGCCCGUAGAGAGAGAAAUAGCAUCCGAAAGCUAUCUGAUAAAGAUUGCAGUUCGGUACAGUUUUCAGUGACCAAACGGGGUCGAAACUGAAAUAUUAAAAUUUCUUUGGACUUAUUAAGUAAAACCGAGCAUGCCUGUCAAAUUUGAGCUCAAACGGACAUUCAGAAGGGCUCCGGCGAAAAAUAAACUGCCCGAAGUGAAUAGUGCGUAGUUGAGGGGCAAAAUGGUAAAAAGGGUUUAAAACCCCUUUUCUUCUUCUCCUCCCAACCGUGGCUGCCCCAACCGCACACACCACACACGCAUACACAAGAACACACACACGCAUGGAAAGGAAAGGAGAGAAAUCCCUUUCUCUCUCUAAAUCUCUCCCAAAAUGGAUGGAUUUGGUGGAGAUUGAAGCUUGGAGGUGGAUCGCCUUCGUCUUCUUCAUCUUCUCCAUGGUUUGGAGCUCAUUUUGAGGUGAGCUUCUUGAGCCCUUUAAUGGUAGAUCUUUAAUGCUUGGUUUAAAUACCUUAUAAAUGGAUUUAGAGGAGUCCUAGCAUGCUAUCUAGAUGAUUAAUGCUUGAAUCAUGGAUCAAUUUAGUGAUUUCUUGCAUAGUUGUAACCUAGGGCUCCAAAAUGCAAACUUUCAAAAUAUGAGGGUUUGAUCUCAUUUGACCCUUCGUAAACCUAAUUGCUAGGUAACGAAACGCGUUGGCGAAGACGGUUCGGCAAUCCGACGAGCCGUUACAAAGUUAUUAAAGAAAUGGACGUUUAGGCUUCGGGUCCGCCGGGAGGGCCGAGGCGACGUCGUAAAAUCAUGGAAAUGGAUUUGAGGCAUCGUGGCACAUAACCGAAGACCUAUAAUUUUCGGGGCUGCGAAGCGGAGCACGGUUGAGGCGCAGUUGCAGUAUCGGGCCGUGCCGGAUACGGGUGCCGCGGGAGGCCGAUUGCAAGUGUCGACAAGCAAUCGGAACGCGAAUUAAGGUGGGUUGUGUUUACCGAAGCGACUAGGUCGCCUUUAUGUCUAAGAAACUAAGAAUCCAUGUUGAUGCAUAUAAAUGUAAAUGAAGCAUGUAAAUGAUGCAUGUAGCUAAAUAAUGCAUGUUGAUAGUAUGAUGUAAAUGCUAAAUAGAAUGCAUUAUGAGCAAGUUACAUAAUGCUAAAUAAUGUAAUGUAGAAAUGCUAGAAUGCAUUAUGAGCAAGUUACAUAAUGCUAAAUAAUGUAAUGUAGAAAUGCUAGAAUGCAUAAUGAGCAAGUUAUAUGAUGCAUGUUUAUAGUAUGAUGUAAAUGCUAAGUAGAUGCAUAUAAAUGAUAUAUGAGAUUAUAAACGCAUGAUUAGCAUUAUGAGAUCAUAGAUGCAUGCUUAGCAUUGUGAGAUUAUAUAUGCAUAUGAACUUGGUUGAUAACUCUAGCUUGAUUAGAGAGAUAACAUUGGAAAAUGAGAAUUGAUAACUCUAGAAUGAGUAGAAUGCUUAAUUGGACAAUUAGUAUGUGAAUUAGAUCGAGUGGCAUCUAACUUAGUGUUAAGGAACAUAGGUCGUGAGUAGACCUAGAAUCAAAUAGAUCGAGUGGCAUCUAACCUAGUGUUAAUAAACAUAGGUCGUGAAAUGAAAAGUACUUAACCUAGAGUCAAGUGAACCUAGGUUGGAAAGAAUAAUGAUCCUAGUGUAAUAAACCUAGGUUAAGAAUGUGAAAGCAAUAAACCUAAUGGGUGAACUUAGGUUGAGUAAAGGCUUAGACCUAGAGAGGUCAGUUCCAUAGGGUUAAGACCAACCCCUAUGUGAUGUGAAAUGGAUUCCGGAAUCCCAAGGCUAAAAGGAUACACCCAAAGUGGUGUCGGGUGUGUGCGACGAUUUCGCCGCCCAAGGGCUAAAGAACCAUUGUCGUGGCGUGUGCGACGAUUUCGCCGCCGGAUGGUUAGCCAGUUUGUGGAUCCUACCGCCUGUUGACUGAACCACUGUCGUGGCGUUUGUGCGACGAUUUCGCCGCCGGGUGGCUAAGUCAUGGACCUAGGCCGUUGUUGGGUGAGGUGCGAUUCGUUCGCCGCCAGACGGCUAGGACAGGAGUACGGUGAGCUGUUGCCAGCUGAGGUGCAUGUGAGAGUUCCUUCACCUCGAGCUAGACAGUGCGCGGACUAUCCGCGAUUGAUUGACUGAAGACCGAGUCGGGUGGCAUAGAGAACUAAGGUAAGAGAAACCUUAGGAAAGAAUGGCCAGUAGAAAAGUGCGACAAAGUGUUAAGAAUAAAGAAUAAGUAAAGAAUAAAGAUCGGCUAAGGAAUAAGAAUAGCUGAUUAGUAAAGAAAGGUUACAAGUAAAGAAUAGCUAAGAGCUAAAAGUAAACAUUAAAUGACAAGAGUAAAGAAUGAUUAAGAAUAUAAGUAGCGUUAAAGUAACCUACUUGCAUGAUUACAGGUAUUGCAUAUUGCAUUUCGUGAGGCAUGACAUGUAUUUCAAUUGAAUAUAUAUAUCUGUUGUAUAUUGUUGAACUAACAUGUUGCAGUGCCUCGUUAGACCUGUUGGUUGAGCUGGUUCUCUUGGGUGGCUAAACCCACUGAGGACUAUGGACAAUAGUCUCACCCCCGUGUUGCUGUUUUGGGGGUACAGGUACACACGUGUGCGGCGCGGCGGCGCAAGGCGAGGGCGUAGUUCUGCAGAUAGCGCCCUACCCCAGAGACCAGAGCUAGCAGUACCCCAUCUAUAUAGCUUAGGGGUAAAGGAAAUGAAAAGAAUACAAUGUAUCAAACUUGUAGUAAGUAAAUGUUGUAAUAACUUAGAUUGCAUUUGGAUGAAAAAGAAUGGAAACUGUGAUGUAAAAACUAUGAAAGUGAAUGAAUGUAAUAACUUAGGAUGUGUUUAUGUUGUAUGAUACCUUCCACUUGCAAUCUUGAUUGAUAUCUGUUCCUGGUUGGAACCUUCGUGAAUUGUAUUGAUUGCGAUGCUUUGAAUGUACAGGGGAGACUCUGUCCGUAGUACAAGGGAAACCUUGUCCAUUCGGCGAUGUCGGCGGCGCCGGGACCUUGGCCAAAUAGGCGGGUGGUCGCGGGCUGUGACAAUCAAUCCUACAGUUGAGGAUUCCAAGUUCAAUCCAUUCCUUAACUUUAAGGAAGACUAUGCUCAAUUGACCCUUAGUACUAAGGUUGAAUGUCAUAAUAUCUCAAUCGUUCUUGUUCUUGCAUUCUUUACUACCACUAAUGUCAUAUACACUAUCAAGUUCUUGAACUCAUGCCACACUUGUUCUCUAAAUGCUAGAUUUUUGUCCUCAUGCCAAAUGCCACACUUGUUUACUAAGGAUUCUAGACUCGUCGAUGUCAUUUGCUAGAUCUAUGUCAAAGUGUCACUUUUCGUUUACUAACCCUUCUAGGUUCUUGUCACAAUCAUGCAUACAUAGGGAUCAUCAUUCUCACACCCUUACAAAUAUUUAACAUGCAUUUGAAUUUACAUUAAACUAUAACAAAACUCACAAUUGACCCUAUUAUGCAAGAUGCUCAAAAAUGCACAUAUACUCAAAAUAUAACAAUUAGACAUAGAAAGACUUCCGAUGUCCUUGGAAUGCACCACCUACCUUAGAUGGUUACAAGGAUACUUCGGUGAAUUUCUUGGAAUUUUUUUGAAACCCUAAUCCGCGUGCUGCGGCUAUCUGUACGGAAAACGAUGUUUUUGUCAAUAACUUUGCAUACACUCGUCGGAUUGUCGAACCGAGCGUUCCAACGCGUUUAAAAUACCCUCAAUUAGGUUUCUACAUGAUCAAAAUAUAUCAAAACCUAACUUGGGCAAAACCCCUCUUUGGGAUGCCCUAACAUGCAAUUUUUGUAUUUUUCCUAGAUUGAUCUCAUUACUAAGAAAAAGAAAGCUUAGAAUCACUUGGGAAGCUUUCUAACAAGGUUUCUAAACUUUUAGAACCAUCCCUAGAGCAUCUACUUUGAGCCCUAGUGAUCCACCAUGAGAGGGGUCCAAGAAAUCCAUGUUUUUCAUGGAGUCAUGGUUCUUAGAGGAUUUCCUCACUUGUAGAGAGAUCAAGACCCAAAAAUCUAAGGUCUAAACCCAAACCCUAAACCCAUUUUUGCAUAAGGACUCACUUUUGCCCAAGCUCCAUCAAAGCCUACUUGUUGGAGAGCUUCUAGGAACACCAAAGCCACCAAAAUCCAUUUCUCCAAGCUCUUCUCCACCUUCUCCAAGCUCUAGGGCUUGCUUUCUAGAGAGAGAAAGAGAGGAAAAUGAGAGAGGGGGAUGUGUGUGGCUGUGGGAGGGAGAGAGAGAGGUGUUGGGGAGUUAACAUGUUGCUACAAUUGCAACUAGGCCCUCCAUUUCUUUUUAUUUGCGUCAGACCUCACUGGGCUGUCUGGGGCCUCUUGUACCGGUACAAGGAUUCUUGUACGGGUACAAGGCCAAACAGUGAGCCAAACCCGAGAGCUGCCUCUUGGGUUCGCAGGGUCUGUACCGGUACAAGGGGUCUUGUACCGGUACAAGGCCUGGACUGCACCAACCCGAGAGCUGCCUCUCGGGUUCGCAGGGUCUGUACCGGUACAAGGGGUCUUGUACCGGUACAAGGCCUGGACUGCACCAAUCCGAGAGCUACUCAGCUCGGAUUGCGCUGGUUGUACCGGUACAACUAUCACCUUGUACCGGUACAACAGCUCCAGAAUGUUGUUUUAGGCUUCGAUUCGACUCUACCUCGCGUCGGUCGAUGCUAAAACCAUUCUAAGUCUUCCCAAACUCAUUUUUAGCCCUUCCAACAUUAUUGGAAUGCAAGAGGAACUUGUCUAUCGUUUUCUUUCGAUGCUUUAACCAAUUUGGUCAAAGUUCAAUUAUCGUUUUCGGGUUUCGAUAUGUUACAUGCAGCUUGCCUCCUUCGGACCUGUCGAUCGAGCUUUUCCCUUGAGCGGCCGUACCCACUGGGAACUAUGGAGUUAGUUCUCACCCCACGUUGCUUUUGGGGUGUUACAGGUUCACACGUGAGCGGCGCGGCCACGCGAGGCGAGGGCGUAGCUCCGUAGAUAGAGCCCUACCACCGUGACCAGAGAUAGCAGUACCCAAGUCAGCCAAGCUAGGGGUUGUAGAAAAUGAAAGCAAAAUGAUCAAACUUGUAAUAAUCUUGUGAUGAUUGAUUGUAUUCGGAAGUUUAAAUGUAUUUGAAAGGAAAAGAAAUGUAAAUAAUAUCAAGUGAAUGAAUGUAAUAACUUAGGAUGUGUUUAUGUUGUUUGAUACCUUCCUUAUGCAAUCGUUGUAUGUUGAAUACUGUUCUUGGUUGGAACCUGUUGUAAUUGUAUUGAUUGCGACGCCUAGGACGUACAGGAAAAACUCUGUCCGUUCGGCGGUCUGUCGGCGUGCCGAACCUGACCAAAUAGGCGGGGCUCGGGGCGUGACAACACUGGACCUUUGUAAAUUGUGAGGUUCGAGUGUUUGAUUUGUAUUCUGAGCUUUUCCACAUUUUUUGGAAGGUCGUAGAUAGUGUUUCGACCUAUGGCUCGCAUCUCGAGAAUCGAGAUUUUAAACUUAGCGCUAAGGUCUCCAAAGAGAAGGACUUAGGCUGCUCUCGGGUUGGUUUCUGCAGAGUGUGGUACCGGUACAGCAUUGAGCUUGUACCUGAAUGAGGGGUGGUACCGGUACAACAUCGGGUUUGUACCGGUAUCAGGCAUCGUUUUCUGCCAACCCGAGGCUCGGGUUUGCGUGCACAGUGUUUGAUACCGGUACUCUUGCCCGAUGGUACCAGUACGCAGUGCAGUCCGCAAACUGCUUGUUUUGGGAGGGUGUUUUUACAAUUAUAGCAUCUCUAUAUAACACCCCACGCCCCUUAGGUGUUUCCCUGAGCUUGGAAACACAGGAGGAAGGGAGGAAAGCCCUCCACUUCCACCCUUUGGUUUUUUUUGAUUUAUGUUGGAAUUUUUCAGAUUUAAUCCUCUCUUUUUGUCCCUUUUUGCUUGUUGGUAGUAUUUCCACCAUGGUUGAAGGCUUGGAGCUUGGAGAAAAGCUUGUUGGAGGAGAGAUCUUCAACCCUAGUUGAUUUCAAGCCUUAUUUGGAGCUUCUCUUGAGGUUAGUAAUAUAUUUCUUGCUUUAGAUUCAUGUUUUAAUUGAUUUCUUGAGAUGAAACCCUAGAAUGUGAAACCUAGGGUUUAUUUUGGGGGUUUUUAAUUUGUAGCUCUUGGGGCUCAAUUGAUAGGUGUAGAACAUCUCGUUGGGAUAGAUUUGAAGGGCUCUAGCAUCCAUUUGAAAUUUGAGAGGGAUUUUCUAAACAUUAGGUGAGUUUUGCCUUAUUGUUGGAUUUGUUAAAGAUGAACACUUUGGGUGUUCGGUUAUUUUGUUUAACCCUCUUAGAAUUCUCUUUAGGGAGCUAAGAGACUUAUGGACAACUUCUUUUGUGUAAACGAAAGGGUUGCAAGAAGCCUCGGUGAGUUUGACCUCACCAAAAUGAGAAAAUCUCACCUAUGUCUUUUUAAAUAUUAUAAAAUAGAAAAUCAUGCAUAUUCAUGCUAGAUAAGGCAUAAAUGAAUUUUAGAAUGCUUGAAAUACACAUAUUAUAUACAAUGCAAAUUUGUACCUCUAUGUAGUAGAGAGUUAUAUAUGUCGGAAUCUUGCAUAUAAAUAGCAUUCUUAUAUGUGGCUUGGGAUCAUGUUUCAUGUAGUGAAAAUGACAAGUAUAAUAUGCCCUUGGACAUAGAUCUUAUAUUGGACAUAGGAGAAAACAUAAUGCCAUAAAGAGGCAUUAGACUAUAGUGAUGUGUGAAUUAGUAAGCUAAUGUCAUAAAGUGGCAUUAGGCUUAGAAUGUACUUGGACAUAGUAAGCUAAUGUCAUAAAGUGACAUUGGGCUUAAAAUGUGAUUGGACUUAGUAUGUUAAUGUCAUAAAGUGACAUUGAACUUAAUAUAUAGUUAAACCUUACCUUGGAACAUUAAACUAGACCGUUGGGGUUGCUAAUGAUUAUUACCAUGUUAGAGACAUGAUGACCGGGUUCUUGAGAUGACGACUAUGCUUGCUUACUAUUUGUGCUCAUUCGCACAUACUUGUGAGGGUCGCUCCCUACAAGCCGGCACUCCGGAGUUAGCCUACACGACAUAUACUCGCUUGUGCGGUAUUGAGAAGCCUACGGGGCCGGGUAGGAUAGACUCAUUCCUAGAGUGGGAAUAUUGAGCUACCACUGGCAUUUAGGCGGCACAAGCCGGACUACACUUGUAUAGGUCCUAAAAUGAGAUUGGAUAAUGACAUUAAACCAUAAUAUGACAAUCACUACUAGAUAGUUGUAGUAGUUGAAUUUCUUGAACAUGCUUGUGGCAUAGUAUUAAACACUUGGUUGAUAUACUUGGACAUAUAGUAUACUUGAUAGGGUUGCUUGUUGCAUUAUAGUAUACUUGUAUGACAUGUUUAAAGCACACUAGUAUAUAUUCUAAUGAUAUACUCAUCCAUGUUAGGCUAGCUAAUGCAAUUGUGGAACUUCAUGUUAUGUAAUGGCAUAGUAGCUAACAAAUUUAAUUCAUGUUUUAUUAUUCAUACUAUCGCUUCCAAUUAAGUGUUAGAAUUAUCUACUUUGCUUUUGGGCCUAGUGGUGCAUUUGCUAAGGUCAGUAAUUGUCUACUGGGAACUAUUAAUUAUAGUUCUCACGCCCCCUGUUUGUUAUUUUCUUUCAGAGCCUUCCACCUCGAGAGAGGCUCGGGAUCACGGGAAAGGGAUCGCCUCGAGCUAGUUAGCGAGAGAUUGUGCGAUAGGUGGUCCACCUCUCUUUUUAUUUCAUUUUGGAGAGGUUGAGAGAUCUAUACCAUUUUGUAGAGACCACCAUUUUGGAUAUUAUAGCACUUGUAUUUGAGACUUUUGAUGGAUUACUCUAUGUCUUAUCUUACUGGGUUUCCACCCUUCAUGAGCUUUGUAGUGAAGAAUAUUGAUUAAAAAUGUGGAUUUGCAAGCUAGCUAAAUACUAAUUGGUCAUAGUCACAAUUCUCCAAAUGUUGGUGGAUUUGAUUAGUUGAAUAAGAAGUUAAUUAAAAAUAAAAAAAAACUAAUUGGUAGAAGCUCUUUACGACAACAUCAUUCCUUUUCCAUUCAUUGUUUCAGGAGGGUAUAUUUAGGGUUGUAGCCGCAAUACUUCAUAUAGGAAAUAUCGACUUUUCAAAGGGGACAUAUAUAAAUAGAUUCAUCUGUAAUAAAGGAUGAGAAAGCAAGGUUCCAUUUGAACACAGCAGCAGAACUUCUAAUGUAUGUCGAUUUCAUUCCAGCACCAUAGGCCAUUUUUUUUCUAUAAUUUCCGAAAGCUAGAUGUUUGUAGUUUAUUAUUCAUGUAAUUCAUCAGCUAAUGUUUUUGCAGGUGUGAUAGCGAGAAACUAGAGAAAGCACUGAUAACACGUGUGAUAGUAACACCAGAAGGAGUUAUUACUAGAACGCUUGACCCUGCUUCUGCAAUUGUUAGCAGGUAUGGAUUAGCAAAAACAAUAUACUCCCGGUUGUUUGAUUGGUAAUGUGUUUGAUUAUAUAAGAUUAGUUCCUACACAAAUUAAAGAGUAUUUCGUUAUUGAUGCAAAGCAAGAAAUUUUAUUCCUCUUUUGUUAGAAACUGACUAUUAAUGAAUCCUAUGGAUGAAAACAGUGACUGGAAAAGCUAUAGGUAUUUAUUGCAAUUAAGUUUAGUGAUAUCUGUUAUUUGUAUUUAUUACACUAAAAAGCCCAGUGGUUAGGCAACAAUUAUAUAAAUAGAUAAAAAAGUGAUUAAUAUAAACAAACAGAGCAUAUGCAUGAAUAUCCAAAGCUAAUUAAAAAUGAAAAAAAAAAUCAAAAAAAUGAUCAAAACUUACCAAAAGAAAGUAGUGAGAAAGAAGGAAAGUGGACGAACGAUUCCUCCCAAGCGGCGAUCGUGUGCGGCUCGGAGAAGGUCCUCCUAAGCGGCGAUCGCGUGUGACACGACGAAGGUCCUCUGUAAGGUACCGGACUUCUAAAAUUAUGAAGUUACGGUGUACAUUUAAAUAGUUCCGGUGAGGUUGCGGUGGAAUGUAACAUACCGGAUUUUAAAUAUAAAAGAGAAAAAUAAAUAAAAAUAGUAUGAGAUACUAUUUUGUUGGAUUUAGAGAAGUGAAAUAUCGGUUGGGAACGACCUGUGCUGAAAUCGGAGCGAAAACAGAAGAUUUAGAAUUUUCUGUUGGAAACGGGACUGAUAAAUUAGCAGAAAAUGUACAGUCUCAGAAAAUUAUAAAAAUUGGCGGGGAUGUUAGAAAUAUUUGUAUGAGGCUAGAUUUAAAGUUUCAUAUUUUUCUGACACCCGUAGAGUGAGAAAUAAAAUCCGAAAGUUAUCUGAUAAAGAUUACAGUUCGGCACAGCUUUCGGUGACCAAACGGGGUCGAAACUGAAAUAUUAAAAUUUCUUUGGACUCUUUAAGUAAAACCGAAUAUGACUGUCAGAUUUGAGCUCAAACGGAUAUUCAAGGAGCUGCGAAAGAUAUCAGAUUUGGAACUCUGAUUUGAUGUGAAUGUUUAUGUAUAUUGACAGGUUGUUGACUAUAAGUAAGAAGGUACUAGCUUCUUCCUUUCACGCCGGACCAUCCACCCUAACAAGCACACGUUCACAUGGGAAUCGAGCGUCGGUGUAGUGAUGAGAACCAUCCUUUUUCUCUCUCUAAAUAUCGUUCUCAGUCUCUCAUAUAUUUCUGCCCAAAUUGCGGCGGGUGGGUGGAGAUCGAGUUGUGAACUCCUUUUGGAGGCGCCGGAUGAAGCGUUUCGUACGCGCGUUGGAGCGGCGUGUUUUCGUCUUUUGCGGGUUCACUUGGGGUAAGCUUUUGAGGAUUUGCUUUAAUCUUAGCUUUAAAGUGUUCUGUAGCCUCUAAUGAAUCUUUGUUUGGCAUGUUGAUCCAUUUUAUAUUGGAAUUAUUUGGAGGGUUAAUUGUACGUUAGGGCACUCAAAUUGCAACGUUUUUAAAAAUAUGACGGGUUGGAUCUCAUUUUGCUUUCAGUAACUAAUUGUAGUAACGAAAAAGGUUGGCGAAGACGGUUCCGAGUAAUCCGACGAGCGUUACAGAAGUUAUUAAAGAGAAUAGACGUUUAGCUUCGGCGUCUGUGCGGGAGGGCCAAGGCCAGACGUCGUAAAUCAUGAUAAUGGAUUUAAUGGCAUCGUGGCACGUAACGAAGACUAUAAUUUUCGGGGGGUCGCGAAGCGGAAACACGUGGGCGCAGUUGAGUAUCGGGCGGCGGAUACGGGUGGCGAAAGGGCCAAUUUGCAGAGUGCUCACAAGCAAUCGGAACGCGAAUGGAGGUGGGUUGUGCUUACGAAUGCGACUAUGUCGCCUUGUCUUUAGCAUUAUCUCUAUUGAUUGCAUGUGCAUGUAGGACAAGACUAAAUGGUGAUAAUAAUAUGCAAUUAAUGUAAAGGCUAAUGUGAAGAAUGGGCAUGUACAACGAUUGCAGCUGACUAAAAUAUAGCUAAGUAGCGCAAGGGUGAGAAUGUAAUUGCUAGUAAUGUUAAGAGUGAUAUUAAUAAUAAGUUGCAUAGAUAGAAAUGUCAAUGUAUGAUGAGGAAUUAGAUGAGUAUCUCGUAGUAAGCCGAGUGAUGGACAAAUAGGAGUUGCUCAAGGUAUAAUGAGUGGCAUUCACUAGUGGUAAAGAAUCAUAGUGUGAUGUGAACAUAGUUUGGAAAAGAAGAAUGAUCUAUGUGUAAAUAAACUAGGUUUAUAGAAUGUGAAGCAUAAAUAAUGGGUGACUUUAGGGUUGAGGUAAGGGUUAGUAUCCUAGCAGAUAAGUUUCCAUUAGGGUUGAAGACCAACCCUUGUGAUGAUGAAAUGCGAUUCCGGAAUCCCAAGGCUAUAGGAUUACACCAAAGUAGGUUGUUGAGGGUGUGCGACGAUUUCGCGCCAAAGGGCUAAAGAACAUUGUACGUGGCAGUGUGCGUACGAUUUCGCGCCGGAAUGGUUAGCCAGUUGUGGUUAUCUACGCUGUUGACUGAACACUGUCGUCGCGUUUUGCGCGAUUUCAGCCGGCCGUGGUGGCUAAGUCAUGGACUAGGGCCGAUUGUUUGAGAUGAGUGCAUUAGUUCGCCGCCAGACGGCUAGGACAGGAGUACGGUGAGCUGUUGCCAGCUGAGGUACAUGUGAGAGUUCCUUCACCUCGAGCUAGACAGUGUGCUGACUAUCCGCGAUUGAUCGACUCAAGACCGAGUCGGGUGGCAUAGAGAAGUAAGGUAAGAGAAACCUUAGGAAAGAAUGGCCAGUGAAAAAGUGCAACAAAGUGUAAAGAAUAAAGAAUAAGUAAAGAAUAAAGAUCGGCUAAGGAAUAAGAAUAGCUGAUAAAGUAAAGAAAGGUUACAAGUAAAGAAUAGCUAAGAGCUAAAUGUAAACAUUAAAUGAUAAGAGUAGCGUUAAAGUAACCUACUUGCAUGAUUACAGGUAUUGCAUAUUGCAUUUCGUGAGGCAUGAUAUGUAUUUCAAUUAAAUAUAUAUCUGUUGUAUAUUGUUGAACUAACAUGUUGCAGUGCCUCCUCGGACCUAUCGGUC
rnacentral:lncRNA from 1 species